ACUUUAAAGGAGCAAGAAUUUUUGUACAUUCACUCUAACCUGUAAAGGUGUUUUCCACUAAAUAUACGAAGCCAUUCCUUUCUCUUUACAAUUUAAGGUAUUUGUUUCAAACUGCUAAACACAUUAACCUGUUUUUCUCUGUAUAAGCAUUUGUCUCAUAUUAAAUGUUUGUUAAUCUAUCAUGUUCAUUGUGAAAUCAUAAAUUAAACAUACACGUACAUGUAGUUACUGCUUCUCAGAUUUUCAAGAGGGUUUGUAAUGUUUACUGUAUGUUUAAAAAAAAUUAAUAAAAUAAAAAAAUUAUGACC
rnacentral:misc_RNA from 1 species